CGGAUAUGUAUGUGCUUUGAGGAAUUCCAGUGUUAAUUGUACUUUUUGGGGACUUUGAGUGAUUCACCACCCUUUGAACAAAUGUAUUUUGAGAUCCUCAAAGGAAUCCUAGAUUUGUCAAGAGAUUCAUUUUGAGGAAAUAGGUGGUGUGCAGUGCACAUUCCUAAAUGAAUUCAUCAGUUUACAUUAAGGAUCUACCUUCAAAUCCUGAAAUAUGGGAUGCUCUAAAGUGCAUGU